CCUACGGGAGGCAGCAGUGGGGAAUAUUGCACAAUGGGCGAAAGCCUGAUGCAGCAACGCCGCGUGAGCGAUGAAGGCCUUCGGGUCGUAAAGCUCUGUCCUCAAGGAAGAUAAUGGCGGUCCUUGAGGAGGAAGCCCCGGCUAACUACGUGCCAGCAGCCGCGGUAGUACGUCGGGGGCUAGCGUUAUCGGGAAUUACUGGGCGUAAGGGGUGCGUAGGUGGUUUCUUAAGUCAGAGGUGAAAGGGUAGGGUUCAACCGUAGUAAGCCUUUGAAACUGGGAAACUGGAGUGCAGGAGAGGAGAGUGGAAUUCCUAGUGUAGCGGUGAAAUGCGUAGAUAUUAGGAAGAACACCACUUGCGAAGGCGGCUUUCUGGACUGUAACUGACACUGAGGCACGAAAGCGUGGGGAGCAAACAGGAUUAGAUACCCUAGUAGUC
rnacentral:rRNA from 1 species